AUACAGAGGGUGCGAGCGUUAAUCGGAAUUACUGGGCGUAAAGCGCGCGUAGGUGGCUUAUUAAGUCAGAUGUGAAAUCCCCGGGCUCAACCUGGGAACUGCAUCUGAUACUGGUAAGCUAGAGUUUUGGAGAGGGAAGUAGAAUUUCAGGUGUAGCGGUGAAAUGCAUAGAGAUCUGAAGGAAUACCAGUGGCGAAGGCGACUUCCUGGCCAAAAACUGACGCUGAGAUGCGAAAGCGUGGGUAGCAAACGGGAUUAGAAACCCCAGUAGUCC
rnacentral:rRNA from 1 species